rnacentral:rRNA from 1 species
UGAACGCUGGCGGCGUGCCUAAUACAUGCAAGUCGAGCGAACGGACGAGAAGCUUGCUUCUCUGAUGUUGGCGGCGGACGGGUGAGUAACACGUGGAUAACCUACCUAUAAGACUGGGAUAACUUCGGGAAACCGGAGCUAAUACCGGAUGAUAUUUUGAACCGCAUGGUUCAAAAGUGAAAGACGGUCUUGCUGUCACUUAUAGAUGGAUCCGCGCUGCAUUAGCUAGUUGGUAAGGUAACGGCUUACCAAGGCAACGAUGCAUAGCCGACCUGAGAGGGUGAUCGGCCACACUGGAACUGAGACACGGUCCAGACUCCUACGGGAGGCAGCAGUAGGGAAUCUUCCGCAAUGGGCGAAAGCCUGACGGAGCAACGCCGCGUGAGUGAUGAAGGUCUUCGGAUCGUAAAACUCUGUUAUUAGGGAAGAACAUAUGUGUAAGUAACUGUGCACAUCUUGACGGUACCUAAUCAGAAAGCCACGGCUAACUACGUG